AUACGGAGGAUCCGAGCGUUAUCCGGAUUUAUUGGGUUUAAAGGGUGCGCAGGCGGCCAUUUAAGUCAGCGGUUAAAUCGUGGGGCUCAACCCCAUUCUGCCGUUGAUACUGGGUGGCUUGAUUGCGGUCGAGGUUGGCGGAAUUCGUUGUGUAGCGGUGAAAUGCAUAGAUAUGACGAAGAACACCGAUUGCGUAGGCAGCUGACCAGACCGCAAAUGACGCUCAUGCACGAAAGUGCGGGGAUCGAACAGGAUUAGAUACCCUGGUAGUCCGCACAGUAAACGAUGAUCACUAGCUGUUUGCGAUACACAGUAAGCGGCACAGCGAAAGCGUUAAGUGAUCCACCUGGGGAGUACGCCGGCAACGGUGAAACUCAAAUGAAUUGACGGGG
rnacentral:rRNA from 1 species